rnacentral:rRNA from 1 species
AAUCAACGCUGGCGGCGUGCCUAACACAUGCAAGUCGAACGAGAAAGUGGAGCAAUCCAUGAGUAAAGUGGCGACCGGGUGAGUAACACGUGACUACCUGCCCUUGAGUGGGGGAUAACCUCGGGAAACCGAGGCUAAUACCGCAUAAUAUCGAAAGAUCAAAGGAGCAAUCCGCUUUUGGAGGGGGUCGCGGCUGAUUAGCUAGUUGGUAGGGUAAUGGCCUACCAAGGCGAAGAUCGGUAUCCGGCCUGAGAGGGCGCACGGACACAC